rnacentral:rRNA from 1 species
UACGAAGGGGGCUAGCGUUGUUCGGAAUUACUGGGCGUAAAGCGCACGUAGGCGGACUAUUAAGUCAGGGGUGAAAUCCCGGGGCUCAACCCCGGAACUGCCUUUGAUACUGGUAGUCUCGAGUCCGGAAGAGGUGAGUGGAAUUCCGAGUGUAGAGGUGAAAUUCGUAGAUAUUCGGAGGAACACCAGUGGCGAAGGCGGCUCACUGGUCCGGUACUGACGCUGAGGUGCGAAAGCGUGGCGAGCAAACAGG